GACGAACGCUGGCGGCGUGCCUAAUACAUGCAAGUAGGACGCAGUUGCGAACGGGUUAGUAACGCGUAGGUAACUACCUAUUAGAGGGGGAUAACUAUUGGAAACGAUAGCUAAUACCGCAUACUAGUAGAUGGACCUGCGUUGUAUUAGCUAGUAGGUAGGGUAAUGGCGUACCUAGGCAACGAGACAUAGCCGAACGGUGAGGGGGAUUGGCCACACUGGGACGGAGACAAGGCCCAGACUUCUACGGGAGGGAGCCAUAGGGAAUCUUCGGCAAUGGGGGGAACCCUGAACGCACAACGCCGCGUGAGUGAAGAAGGUUUUCGGAUCGUAAAGCUCUGUUGUUAAGGAAGCGGUACUUAACCAGAAAGGGACGGCUAACUACGUGCCAGCAGCCGCGGUAAUUC
rnacentral:rRNA from 1 species